UACGGGGGGGGGAAGCGUUGUUCGGAAUUACUGGGCGUAAAGGGCUCGUAGGCGGCCAACUAAGUCAGAUGUGAAAUCCCUCAGCUUAACUGGGGAACUGCGUCUGAUACUGGAUGGCUUGGAUUUGGGAGAGGGAUGCGGAAUUCCAGGUGUAGCGGUGAAAUGCGUAGAUAUCUGGAGGAACACCGGUGGCGAAGGCGGCAUCCUGGACCAAUAUUGACGCUGAGGAGCGAAAGCCAGGGGAGCAAACGGG
rnacentral:rRNA from 1 species